ensembl:lncRNA
AUCUGCUGUUCAGGCUGACUCAUCUAGUCUGGAGGAGGGCUAUCUUCAUUUCUAAUUGAGGCUGUGGAGUCCAGGGACGAGACCUGACUGACUUGUCUCAGAGAUACUUCCUGAACAGUCUUUCUCUCACCGUGGACCAAAGGUUUGGCCAGAGCUAUGUAGCUGUCAAGCUCUAGAGAAAAUGAGGGGUGUAUUUCUAAAAGGGCAGAGGGAAACAUAGCCAGAAGAGGCAGACAGGCGGAUGAAAAUAUCAAACGGUUCCAGCGUGCACUGAAGGAUCAGAUGUGUGGAGAGUAGAGGCCAGGGGACUGACUGCAGGGGGAUUGCCAGCUCCUCUGAGAAGCCUUUCCCAGAGGCCUGCUUUGGCUCCUGACGUCCUUGUUCGUGUUCUCUGUAGCCGAUGGCAUGUAUAUUACCUAAUCACAGCAGCUUUGAAGGUGAAAGUUCCUCUGGUUCAUCCUGUUUCCUUCCUUCCGGUUGUGAACAUGGACUUACUGUUUGGAUGAAGAAAUGAAGAAACGGGAGAAAUACAGACAUAGAGAAGGAAGGUCAGAGGUUCUUCCUAGAAAUUUGUCUUCCAGUGAGGCAGUGGGCUUCAGAACUCCAAGAUCAUGCAGAAGAGCACAUGAGCGUCUGCUCUCAUCAGCCAGGGUGGCUGGUUCCCCUCACACUGGGAAUCUUAGUGCUAAGCUCUCAAAACCCAGUACUGCAAUAGAGGAAGGUGUCAAGACUCUUCUUCCAAUGAGACAGAUGUUUCUACUUUUCAAGCAGUUCUCUCUUCCGGACAUCCCAUGACCAUCUGUUUAAGUACACAGAAGAGAGUUUGGACUCAGUCAACAAUGAGCUGGUACUUCUGAGGUUCCUGUUAAUAUUCUUGCUGCUGUGGGCUUUGGAGACCUGCAGUAAUCGUCUACUCAGAGGUGACUUCUGUACUCCCCU